ACUUCAUUGUGAUCUUUGUUCUUUGACUAAGUGGAUAAUUCUUUCUUUGGCAGGUAAAAGCUUGGAUAGGACCUGGAAUCUCAAAGUGAAAAACUCUCCAAUCCCAGCAAAUGAAAUUCUUUGAUUGACUAUAGUGCAGAUUGGAUAUCCAAGGCUUAACUUCUAGUGACAAGAGGUCUUACCUACAUAAACAGCCAGAGGAAGGGAGCUGCAAUGGGAAGACACAAAAUGGUGCCGAUCAGUUGUCAGUCACGCUGUUUCUUCUCAUCAAGCCCAUAGCCUCGCAAAAGUGCAAAUGAACUUAUCCAUUUGCCAUGUUUCUCAGUUCUUCAUUUUCAUGAAAUUGGAAUCUUUCCACAGCUUCAAUUCAAUCUUCUAUCCCUACAAGCUUUGGUCCUUCACCAUUGGGCAUCCCCCUCAUGACCUGGACAAUGAAAUUUUCAAGAGCAUUUCAGGAAGACCUUCAAAAUGGCUCCUAAAGUCUCAGAUCUCAAUGGUCUACAUUGCAAAAAAAAUAUUCUUUCACCCAGACGAUGUGCAUGAAUAAAAAGCUUUGCUUUUACAUUAUGAAGGGAAAAAUCCUUGUUCAUGUCCGCAACUUGGCCAAGUUUCAGAAAUAUGUACAGUAUUUGGCUAUGAGUUGAACAGGGCCCUAAAUAAUUCUAUUGUUUUUUCAUGUACCUGAGAAGACUCUGGCAAGUCUCAUGUGAUUGAUCUGAGGUUUUGGAUUUCUCACUGUUCUAGUAUGCAAGAUGGGACUGAUCCCGCAACUUCCAGAUCUGAUCAUAAGCACAAUUUAUUUGAACCAUAGUUGGCCACUGCAGAUAAUACCACAUGUGACUUUGUAUAGAUAGAACUAGAGGAACCUAAAUGAUAAUGGUAUAACCCUAGAACUUGGAAUGGA